rnacentral:tRNA from 1 species
GCUCCUGUGGCGCAAUUGGUUAGCGCGCGGUACUUAUAAUGCCGAGGUUGUGAGUUCGAGCCUCACCUGGAGCA